rnacentral:rRNA from 1 species
GCGGUAGAGAGAAGCUUGCUUCUCUUGAGAGCGGCGGACGGGUGAGUAAUGCCUAGGAAUCUGCCUGGUAGUGGGGGAUAACGUUCGGAAACGGACGCUAAUACCGCAUACGUCCUACGGGAGAAAGCAGGGGACCUUCGGGCCUUGCGCUAUCAGAUGAGCCUAGGUCGGAUUAGCUAGUUGGUGGGGUAAUGGCUCACCAAGGCGACGAUCCGUAACUGGUCUGAGAGGAUGAUCAGUCACACUGGAACUGAGACACGGUCCAGACUCCUACGGGAGGCAGCAGUGGGGAAUAUUGGACAAUGGGCGAAAGCCUGAUCCAGCCAUGCCGCGUGUGUGAAGAAGGUCUUCGGAUUGUAAAGCACUUUAAGUUGGGAGGAAGGGCAGUUGCCUAAUACGUAACUGUUUUGACGUUACCGACAGAAUAAGCACCGGCUAACUCUGUGCCAGCAGCCGCGGUAAUACAGAGGGUGCAAGCGUUAAUCGGAAUUACUGGGCGUAAAGCGCGCGUAGGUGGUUUGUUAAGUUGGAUGUGAAAUCCCCGGGCUCAACCUGGGAACUGCAUUCAAAACUGACUGACUAGAGUAUGGUAGAGGGUGGUGGAAUUUCCUGUGUAGCGGUGAAAUGCGUAGAUAUAGGAAGGAACACCAGUGGCGAAGGCGACCACCUGGACUAAUACUGACACUGAGGUGCGAAAGCGUGGGGAGCAAACAGGAUUAGAUACCCUGGUAGUCCACGCCGUAAACGAUG